rnacentral:rRNA from 1 species
GUGGGGAAUAUUGGUCAAUGGGGGAAACCCUGAACCAGCAACGCCGCGUGAAGGAAGAAGGCUUUCGGGUUGUAAACUUCUUUGACAGGGGACGAAACAAAUGACGGUACCCUGAAAACAAGCCACGGCUAACUACGUGCCAGCAGCCGCGGUAAUACGUGGGUGGCAAGCGUUGUCCGGAUUUACUGGGUGUAAAGGGCGUGUAGGCGGGACGGUAAGUCAGAUGUGAAAUGUAGGGGCUCAACCCCUGAACUGCAUUUGAAACUAUCGUUUUGGGGUGAUGGGGAGGCAGGCGGAAUCCCGUGUGUAGCGGUGAAAGGCGUAGAUAUACGGAGGAACACCGGUGGCGAAGGCGGCCUGCUGGACAUUAACUGACGCUGAGGCGCGAAAGCGUGGGGAGCAAACAGGAUUAGAUACCCGGGUAGUCC